rnacentral:rRNA from 1 species
UACGAAGGGGGCUAGCGUUGCUCGGAAUCACUGGGCGUAAAGGGUUCGUAGGCGGUGCGGAAAGUUGGGAGUGAAAUCUCUGGGCUUAACCCAGAGGCUGCUUUCAAAACUUCCGUGCUCGAGUGCGAGAGAGGUCAGUGGAAUUGCAGGUGUAGCGGUGAAAUGCGUAGAUAUCUGCAGGAACACCCGUGGCGAAGGCGGCUGACUGGAUCGCAACUGACGCUGAGGAACGAAAGCUAGGGGAGCAAACAGG